CUAGGGUUUUGUCUAGGGUAUUGGGAAGAGAAAAAUAGAGAGAAAGGAGUUUCUUCUAUUCACUUUCAUCCACCACCUCUUCUUCCUCCACUAACAUUUUUCUUCAUCCCCUGAAAGAAUUUAAGAGAUCAAAGGAAGGAGUUCGUUCUUCCAUCAAGUGGUCUUUACAAGGAGCUAGCACUACAGAGAGAUCGAUCGGAUCAGAACUUUAUAUGGAUACUCAUGG
rnacentral:lncRNA from 1 species